CCUCGGGGCGCACCAGGCGCGAAAACUCCGCAAUGCACGAAAGUGUGACGGGGCUACCCCGAGUGCCGUCCGCUGAGGAUGGCUUUUCUUUGGUGUAACUAGCCAGGGGAAUAAGGAGAGGGCAAGACUGGUGUCAGCCGCCGCGGUAAUACCAGCUCUCCGAGUGGUAGGGAUGAUUAUUGGGCUUAAAGCGUCCGUAGCCGGCUUAGCAAGUUUCCUGUUAAAUUCAGCGACCUAAUCGUUGACUCGCGGGAAAUACUACUAGGCUAGGAGGCGGGAGAGGUCGACGGUACUUCCGGGGUAGGGGUGAAAUCCUAUAAUCCCGGGGGGACCACCAGUGGCGAAGGCUGUCGACUAGAACGCGCUCGACGGUGAGGGACGAAAGCUGGGGGAGCGAACCGGAUUAGAUACCCCCGUAGUC
rnacentral:rRNA from 1 species